UGAACGCUAGCUACAGGCUUAACACAUGCAAGUCAGGGGCAGCAUGAAGUUUGCUUGCAAACUUUGAUGGCGACCGGCGCACGGGUGAGUAACGCGUAUCCAACCUGGCCCGCAGUAGGGAACAGCCCGGCGAAAGUCGGAUUAAUGCCCUAUGUCUUCCUUUGCAGGCAUCCAAUGAGGAAGAAAGAUUUAUCGCUGCGGGAUGGGGAUGCGUCUGAUUAGCUUGUCGGCGGGGUAACGGCCCACCGAGGCAACGAUCAGUAGGGGUUCUGAGAGGAAGGUCCCCCACACUGGUACUGAGACACGGACCAGACUCCUACGGGAGGCAGCAGUGAGGAAUAUUGGUCAAUGGGCGAGAGCCUGAACCAGCCAAGUAGCGUGCAGGACGACUGCCCUAUGGGUUGUAAACUGCUUUUAUGCGGGGAUAAACUUCAGCACGUGUGCUGUUUUGCAGGUACCGCAUGAAUAAGGACCGGCUAAUUCCGUGCC
rnacentral:rRNA from 1 species